UUUUAUUUAUAGAAUAUUUAUUUAUCUCACUUCAAUUGUGAUGGCCACUAAAAAAACAAAAAAUCUUUUGUAAACUUAACAUGGUUAAAUGAAUAUUUUUUUUUUAAUGGAUGCAUGCAAAUCUCAAAAAAAUAACUACUACUCCUUUGGGUCACAUGAUUGUAUAUACAGCUGAUACAAUAUCAGAUAAAAGUUUCAUUUAAAAAAAAAUAUUUAUAUGGAUGGUUUAAAACAAAAUGGUUGAUUCUAAAAACAAAAUGAACUAUUUUUAUCUCAAUGAUACUGUUGUGUUUGUGCGGGGAUCAAAACAAAAUAAAUACUGGACAGAUAAAAUGUCAACUUUUGCAUAAAUUACUUUUUACAUUUGACAAGCAGCCACCGGUUGCAAAAUGGAGUUAGUACUUUAGUGUUAGUACCAUAAAUAGUUCAUCUUUGUACAGAUUGUCAAAAUACAACUGACUUACAAUGGAACUUCUACCAAAUUCUGAUGACAUAAUUUUUUAAAACAUUACUUCAAUAAAGUUAUAUGUAAUUUACAAGUCCAAAUAAUAUUUUUCUAAAGUUCAAAGUUCUGAAGUUAACCACUGCAUGACAAAAAGUUCUCAACUAGUUCAUAACAUUUAGGUCAGGAAACACAGAAUAAUAGUUUUGUUAAGAUUCUGCAUAAGUGAAUAUUUCUCUAGCCUCUUUUAUUUUAAUAGCUAGACAGGAACAGAAUCCUAGAAAAUAACGAACAAGUAUGGAAGAAAAUUAUUCAUCCAUUCCCCCUGCAAAGAAAGAAUUGUCAGCCCAAACGCCAUGAUUUGACAUGACAAUUUCUAACUCUAGAAAAAAAAGAUGAUUUUAAUAUGUGCAUAGCAGACAACAAGACUUAAGGUGCAGUUUUCUUUUUUUUCUACAUACUGAAUAAGAACACAGUUAACAUCUACUAUAUCACAUCUCUGCAGUUCUUACAGC